AUGGCGAUGCCGACGAGUCCGACGACACCUGGGACACCAUCGACGCCGGUGUCGGCUCGUAGGGACAACGUGUGGAGGAGCGUGUUCAAUCCAGGUAGCAACCUUGCAACCAAAGGUAUUGGCGCUGAAGUUUUCGACAAGCCUCAACCUAACUCUCCUACUGUUUAUGACUGGUUCGUACAGAUUUUUUUUCUUGUUCAGUUAUUUGCAUGCAUGCUAGCUUGGAUAAUUGGAUAUAUAUAAGUGGGACUUUGAUUUUGCUUUUUGGAUGUUUGUGAUCCCCAUCUGUUUGGUUGCUGAGAAAAUUAAUCAUAGAAGAGUCAUAUAUAUAUAUAUUAACCAGGUGUUUUGGAAUUUGGAUUCUUUUUAAUAUAUAGUACUAAAAUGAAGAGUUUUUCAAAAAGGAAGCCUCAAAAACUUUCCUGUUUGUUUUUUUUUUUUCCCUAACGUUUUCUCAGCAACCAAACGGAGGCUCAGAGACAGAUCAUGCCGGAAAACUUGGCUCUUUGUUUGGUAGCUGCGUGGAAAUAACAGUAUGCUGUAAUUAUUACAUUAAUCCAUUUAUAAGCUUUUCUUUUUAAUUAUUCUUGUCAAUUUACUAUAAGAUGAUAAAUAACCAAAGAUUAAUAAUUAGUGUAAUUUGCAUGGAUCUAAUUUCUGGGUGUUAACUAAAAUUUAAGAAGAAAGUUUGGUCCGGAUGGGAUGGGAUGCAGGCUUUACAGCGGGGAGACCCGGAGCAAGCAUCACCGUUGAUUAGGCGGUGGCUGACGGCGGCGGAUGGUAGCAAAACCACUAGCAGAAGGUUGCAGCUACUGAAGGAGCAGGAUUUGCAUGUAAAUAUAUAUAUCGUCC
rnacentral:lncRNA from 1 species